AGUCGAGCGAUGAAACUUUAACAGAACCCUUCGGGGCGAAGAUAAAGUGGAUUAGCGGCGGACGGGUGAGUAACACGUGAGUAACCUGCCUUAGACAUUGGGAUAGCCUCGGGAAACCGGGAUUAAUACCAAAUAAAAUCAUAAUGACACAUGUCAUAACGAUCAAAACUCCGGUGGUCUAAGAUGGACUCGCGUCCCAUUAGCUAGUUGGUAGAGUAAAAGCCUACCAAGGCGACGAUGGGUAGCCGGCCUGAGAGGGUGAACGGCCACAUUGGAACUGAGAAACGGUCCAAACUCCUACGGGAGGCAGCAGUGGGGAAUAUUGCACAAUGGAGGGAACUCUGAUGCAGCGACGCCGCGUGAACGAAGAAGGCUUUCGAGUCGUAAAGUUCUUUUAUAUGGGAAGAUAAUGACGGUACCAUAAGAAAAAGCCCCGGCUAACUACGUGCCAGCAGCCGCGGUAAUACGUAGGGGGCUAGCGUUGUCCGGAAUCACUGGGCGUAAAGGGUUCGCAGGCGGAAAUGCAAGUCAGAUGUAAAAGGCAGUAGCUUAACUACUGUAAGCAUUUGAAACUGCAUAUCUUGAGAAGAGUAGAGGUAAGUGGAAUUUUUAGUGUAGCGGUGAAAUGCGUAGAUAUUAAAAAGAAUACCGGUGGCGAAGGCGACUUACUGG
rnacentral:rRNA from 2 species